UUUUAACGAUUUGUAUCUAGACUCAGACGGCAUAGUUAUCAGAAGUUAAGAUGGCUACCGGCGGGCACGGGCCAGGCGCGGUAAAGCCCCCGGCGGCCCCAAAGGGGCGGGCCCGCCAAAGCAACGUGAUUGGUUAAACAAAGGGUUGGAGGUCGGGCCUGGAAGACCCUUACUCGGUAAUGAUCCUUCCGCAGGUUCACCUACGGAAA
rnacentral:misc_RNA from 1 species